rnacentral:rRNA from 1 species
CAGUCGCCACGGUAAUACGGAGGGUGCAAGCGUUAAUCGGAAUUACUGGGCGUAAAGCGCACGCAGACGGUCUGACAAGUCAGAUGUGAAAUCCCCGGGCUUAACCUGGGAACUGCAUUUGAAACUGUCAGGCUGGAGUCUUGUAGAGGGGGGUAGAAUUCCAGGUGUAGCGGUGAAAUGCGUAGAGAUCUGGAGGAAUACCGGUGGCGAAGGCGGCCCCCUGGACAAAGACUGACGCUCAGGUGCGAAAGCGUGGGGAGCAAACAGGAUUAGAUACCCCGUAGUCCUGUCUCUAUACACA